rnacentral:rRNA from 1 species
GACGAAGGGGGCUAGCGUUGUUCGGAAUUACUGGGCGUAAAGCGCGUGUAGGCGGUUGUUCCAGUCGGGCGUGAAAGCCUUGAGCUCAACUCAAGAAAUGCACUCGAUACUGGAUGACUUGAGGACCGGAGAGGAUAGUGGAAUUCCCAGUGUAGUGGUGAAAUACGUAGAGAUUGGGAAGAACACCAGUGGCGAAGGCGGCUAUCUGGACGGUUUCUGACGCUAAGACGCGAAAGCGUGGGGAGCAAACAGG